UGCCAAUUCUACUUUACCAUGAUAGAACCAACCAUUUUGGCGCCCUUCGAAAAUUGACAAAACAUAUACGUUGCCGGUUAAACCACAUGUAAAUAUCAUAUUAUUAACAUAAUCAUCACUAUAUUUUGCUUGGGAUAUCUGCACUUUUCCCCAUGGCUGCAACUCCUGUAUUCUUAACUUCGAUGGCCCCUAAUGAUCUUCAUCAUGAUCAACUUCAAUUCUCCGGCGACUCUCACUUUGCUCUUCACGGUGAGAUCAUGAUGCUUAUUCUUGUCUUGCUUUUUGUUAUCUUUCUCCUCUUCCUCUUCUUCCUUCUCUACACAAAACGCUUUCGAACUCAACCUAAAGAUGACUUGUCGACCUCCCAGCCCGAUUUACCAACCAAUCUUCCGAUGAUUCAGUUCAAUGGCGGGUGCAAGUGAGUACAAGACCUAUAACCCUUCAACAAAUAUAGAUAGAGCAUCAAUUAUAGCCUUGCUCAUAUACAUAUAUUUAUAUGUAUGUGUUUUUACAAUAUUAUUUAUAUAUCUGCCAUGAUUAAUUGGCUCAGUCCGUAUUGAAAGCUUAAUUUGUAAUUAAGUUAAGGUUAUAAUUAGUUAUCUCCCAUGAAUUAUGAUUCUUUCUAGCUAAAAGAGUAGACAAUUUUCAGUUAAUUAAUGGAGAAAAUGCAUAUGUAUGUAUACAAGACAAGAAAUUAAGAAAGAUUAAUUAAUUAAUUAAUUAAUUAAUCAAAUUAAUUAUUUGUGUUUUUAGAGUUCCGUGUGUGAUUGGGUAACUUACCACCACAAAAUUUGAUGAUGUAUACAAGAUGUUAGGUUGGUGGUACAACUUGUCAAUUGUAAGACAGACAGCCACCAUUUUCAUAUUUAGAUAUGAAGGUACGCUGAGGUGGCACCAAGUGAUUGGGUGGACGUACCAGAUAUUUUCUCUUUUCUCUCUCUAUUAUUGCUCAAGAACUGGACAUACAUACGUAUAUGUAUGUAUGUAUCUACGUACCAACAUGCCAAGGGACUUCCCUCCCACCCAAGAGGAUGGAUAUUUCUAUUAAUUCUCUACUUCUGUAUUGGGUUAAACCUUAAAAUGUAUUUAAAGUAUUAACUUCAAUCUUAUGUAGUUUGUAAGAUAAUAAACACAUACUACCUAUUAGAUUUUAUGCUAAGAAUGUACAAAAUAAACUUUUUCUAUUAGUUAACUUAUUUGUUUAAUUAUCAUCUUAAGACUUAUAUAUGUAAUGGUGUAAAUCAUUACUUAGUUAUAUUACACUGACAAAUGGCCUCUUAGCU
rnacentral:lncRNA from 1 species